rnacentral:rRNA from 1 species
AGGAUGAACGCUGGCGGCGUGCUUAACACAUGCAAGUCGAACGAUGAAGGCUGGAGCUUGCUCUGGCUGGAUUAGUGGCGAACGGGUGAGUAACACGUGAGUAACCUGCCCCAGACUCUGGGAUAAGCGCUGGAAACGGCGUCUAAUACCGGAUACGAGCUUCCACCGCAGUCGGUGAGGAGCUGGAAAGAUUUCGGGUCUGGGAUGGACUUCGCGGUCCUAGUCGAGUCUUGUUGGUGAGGUAAUGGCUCGACCAAGGCGACGACGGGUAGCCGGCCUGAGACGGGUGACCGGCCACGACGUGGGACCUGACGACCACGGCCCAAGGACCUCCGACGGGAGC